GACGAACGCUGGCGGCGUGCUUAACACAUGCAAGUCGAACGGAAAGGCCCUGCUUUUGUGGGGUGCUCGAGUGGAGAACGGGUGAGUAACACGUGAGUAACCUGCCCUUGACUUUGGGAUAACUUCAGGAAACUGGGGCUAAUACCGGAUAGGAGCUCCUGCUGCAUGGUGGGGGUUGGAAAGUUUCGGCGGUUGGGGAUGGACUCGCGGCUUAUCAGCUUGUUGGUGGGGUAGUGGCUUACCAAGGCUUUGACGGGUAGCCGGCCUGAGAGGGUGACCGGCCACAUUGGGACUGAGAUACGGCCCAGACCCCUACGGGAGGCAGCAGUGGGGAAUAUUGCACAAUGGGCGGAAGCCUGAUGCAGCAACGCCGCGUGCGGGAUGACGGCCUUCGGGUUGUAAACCGCUUUCGCCUGUGACGAAGCGUGAGUGACGGUAAUGGGUAAAGAAGCACCGGCUAACUACGUG
rnacentral:rRNA from 1 species